AAAGUACUCCCUCCGUACCAAAAUUCUUGUCUUAGAUUUGUCUAGAUACAGAUGUAUUAAGUCACAUUUUAGUAUUAGAUACAUCCGUAUCUAGACAAAUCUAAGACAAGAAAUUUGGUACAGAGGGAGUAGUUG
rnacentral:pre_miRNA from 1 species